rfam:Schistosoma margrebowiei strain Zambia genome assembly, scaffold: SMRZ_contig0001603
AUCCAGCCGAUGAGUUUCAAAUAGGACGAAACGCUCGUCUUGAAU